rnacentral:misc_RNA from 1 species
ACCUCAAUCACCUGUGUGC